rnacentral:rRNA from 1 species
GUGAGUGAAGAAGGUUUUCGGAUCGUAAAACUCUGUUGUUAGAGAAGAACAAGGAUGAGAGUAACUGUUCAUCCCUUGACGGUAUCUAACCAGAAAGCCACGGCUAACUACGUGCCAGCAGCCGCGGUAAUACGUAGGUGGCAAGCGUUGUCCGGAUUUAUUGGGCGUAAAGCGAGCGCAGGCGGUUUCUUAAGUCUGAUGUGAAAGCCCCCGGCUCAACCGGGGAGGGUCAUUGGAAACUGGGAGACUUGAGUGCAGAAGAGGACAGUGGAAUUCCAUGUGUAGCGGUGAAAUGCGUAGAUAUAUGGAGGAACACCAGUGGCGAAGGCGGCUCUC